CUUCUCCGCGCAGUGCCUUAGCGGGAGCUGCCGAGAAGCCUCUGGAGCCAGCGGGUGCCUGGCAGGUGCUUUAUAGCCCCGCCGCCGCCGCGUCACGGCCCCGCUCCGCCCCGCAGCGUGCAGCGGCCCGCGGGGGCAAACAGCCGCGGCGCGGGCACGCGUGGGCCCCGGGCGCUCCGCGGGGCCACGCAGGUAGCCCCCGCCGCGCCGCGCUGCACCCGCGGGGGAGGCUGGGGGCUGCUCCCAGCCCCGCCAAGGCUCCGGGACAGCCCGCCGCCCCCAAAGGCGGUGGUUGCGGAAAACACGCGUGGCCCCCCACGCUGCAAGCGGAAAUACCCUACUGUGUUGAGCAGGCACAAACCUGACCAGCAUAUGUGUGGAUGUUUGGCACCUAAUCACUGGUGUUUCAGAGAUCUUAAAGGAUGUGAGACGACGGGCAAAAUUCUCCAUUUCUUUUAGAGAUGUAAGAACCAUGCAGAGAGGAGAUGUGGUUGGGAUUGCAUUGACCAGGAAUACAUUGUUCACUUCAUUGUGAGGAGUUCCAGGCAGACAUGACGAACGGGACAAAACAGCUCAAGAAAAGAGACGUCCCGUGCAGCAUUCAUGAAAUACGCUGUUUGGAAACAAGGAACGAACAAACAGGAAAGCACUUUAACCAUUGCAAAGACAGGAUUCCAGCAUGUUCUUGGCACCAGCAGGAACAAUGGAGUGAUGUCACAAGCCAGAAUUCCCCAUGGCGGAUAGAAGUCCAGCAAAUAAUCGUAAUUCUUGGGUACAUUAGGAAAACUUUUCCGCAGUUGGUCAUCCCCCACUGAGUCCCUGUUAGGAAGUAUAGGAAAGAGACAUUGUAAAGUGAAGUUUCCUUUGGGAGAUCCCUCCCUGCCCCCAGAGCCAAUGCAUUAAUUGUUAUAAAUCACUGCCUUCUGCUGACUACAAGGAAUUUCAGUGGUGAGCAACGCUGCUGUCAGGAGGCUGAGCACAGGACUGCCUGAAGAAUAUACUUCACCCAGUGAAGAAGGGUGCACACAAGGGUCCAGAUACUUGUAAGGGCAAAGGGACAGAAGCCCCAUUAGUUAUCCAGGGCUUUGAGCCUACACAACACCAAUGCCAAGCUUUGCCCUUAUGGUUUCAAAGGUGCUGAGAAUGGCAAGGAGCUUAGGAAACACAGUCCUGCUUGAACAAUCGCAUUUGGAGAGUUUCCACCUAGUUUAAGGCUACCAAAUGACAUGAGCAAUACCAGGCGUCCUCCAGACCCCAACCUCUCUAUUUUGUUUUGGCAUCAAGUCAGCUCCAUGGAGAGUGACCUGAAAUGCGUAUGAAAUUUGCAGUCAUUACUGGGUUGGCGUUUACUGAGAGUGUGGACGGCUUCCACCUCCCCAGGACUUAGCUGCAGAUGCGUGGGCAGCCUCUAUGCAGGAGCACACCAGCUCUUGGCUGUCACUUUUCUUUUUUGCAUGAAUGUUGGUGUUAGUAUGAGGGAGAGGUAGGACUGCUUAGCUGAGCAGGAAAUGGCGUUUCCCUUUCAGUAGCAAAUAGCGUUAAUGAGCCUAAGCCAGCCUUAAAAAAAGGAAGCAUUAAGACCUGAGUGCUUGCACACUUUACAGAUAUGUCCCUGUUCUAUGUUUGUCUGUGGUCUGCAUUAUCAAUGCCUGAAUAUACCGUGAGAGGCUGUUUACCCUAGUCCCCGUGUCAAGAUUUUUGUGUGUUUUCCUGCUCUGGGAGUUUCCUGAGAAACCUUGCAUCACUCACAGACAUGGAGAGAGGCAGCCUGGACCCAGGCAUUGGGCCUGCCAUCGGAAACUGCUAGAGCUUUCCUCCUGCCUCCAUUUCCCCAUAUCACAGAAGUGGCACAAGACUUCUCAGUCAUGGAGGCAGGAUAUCCCCUAGGAAGGUGAUGGGAGAAGGUUAGACAGGAAGGCAGAGAGCAUUCCCUGCAAAACGAGGCUUUCUACCUCCAUCCCUCCCAGUGAGGUGGGAAGGGUGCAUGCAGCAGUGGCGGGGCUCACAUUUGUGUGGAUCAUCUCUCACAGCCAGGAGCAGCCACCCUGGCUGUGGCAUCAUAUGGGAAGUGUGUGACAGUACUUAACCCUUGACAGGAUGCUGCGCUUUGCCUGCCUUGCAUGUGCCUUGAGCCAGCCUGUUGAAAUAAGGCUAAUAUUUGCCCGGCAUUCCUCACUCUCUCAAUGUAGGAAAGAAUUAUCUCAGAUCUAUACAGCAUUCGGAGGAUACAAAGACAUAAGCUUUGCUUGGUGGGGCAUGGUAGCAUUUUCCUGAUUGAGAGUUUAAAUUUACAGUGGCUAUGAGAGAGGAAAGGGAGAGGGGAGGCACUGAAUAAAACUGUGUUGCCAUUCUUCAGUGCUUCUCCACUUUAACUGAAGGUCUCAGCAGUUGUUUGGACAGGGCGAGUUUGGUAUCAUUGGGGUUAUGGCAGUGAUGGACCUGCUUGGGAUAGCUGACAGAAUGAGGCACCUGAAAUGUUGCAAUAUAAGAAGCUGCUAAUAAAAACUUAAGGUUGAGAUGUGAUUCUCAAGUGCCUUGGAUGGGGAGAAAUGAGUUGAAUGGCUUAGAGACUCAUGUAAUUUACUGGGCUGUCUGCCUGUAGUCUAAGAUGGUUAUCACUGCUAUACAAGUGUCAUUAAUUUUAUAGCAGAGUAACUAGUACUUUAGUAAAAGAAAAGGGGUGGAGUGGGAGUGGGAAGAAUUGCCUCUAGGACACCAGUAUGAAUCAAAUUCAGGAAGGUACUGGCUAAAAUGGAGAUACUGUGAAUAUGCGAGUGUGUGAUUAGCUUUGGAAGAGACGUUCAGCUUCAUGCACCAAGAAUCUCGUAUUAUGUUAGGCGUAGCUGAGACUUACAGUAGUGGCAGACUAUACCUUAUCCCUCCUGGCAGGGCUUGUCCACCAUGCGCUUCAACAUCUUCUACUGGCCAUUGCCACAGAUGACAUGCUGGAUUACAGAUCUGAUCUAGUCUGGGUUUUACAGUUAUUAUUUUGAAAUCAUAAUAAAGGUGCUUCUGAUGACACCCUUCCAUAAUGGUAUGGAAACUCAUGAAGAGAAAGGAGCUAGUAAAAACUUGCAACUUUCACACACCGAGAAAUUUGAUGAAUUUUUCAACACACACAGUUCCUUCUAUCAAAAAAUGUAGGGACUUCAAAGGCUAUGAACCCGUGCUAUUCCUUUCUAGCUAGAUGAGAAGCAAAACAUGUUCAUCCUUUUUCUAUGGAUGGAAAAGUUGCCUCAAAGGGAAAUAUUUGCAAGUAUGAAAGUUUUUAAUAGGGUUAAAUUGAAUGUCAAUUACAAAUCUGUCCCAUGUGCCGGUCUGAUUACAUACUUUCUCUGCCCAAAGGGCAAGAAAAGAAGAGUGUGUGUUUAGGCAGCCCCAUGGAGACAUUCUUUGUAAGUUGGGUGUUCACUGGAACACUUUAAUAUGGAUGUCUGCGUUUACUCCACCCUGAUGGUUGAACUCCUUCUGAUUUCCAGAAUGAUGAGUGACCUGGAAUUUAUAAUUACAAUAGGUGUAAUGUAAUUAAUCACCACCUUGGAGCUGUCUUCCAUCGCUAACUGCUUUAUGAUACCAAUCCUUUGCAGCAAGUGCAUGAGAACAGUUUGUGUAACAUAACUAUUUCCAGCUGAGACAAGUUCAGCAGAGCUCCUACCACCCGGACAGGCAGGAAGAUCCCUUUCAGCUCUUCUGCAACAGCUGCUUUCUGCAAAAGCCAGGGUGUUGUAGGCUGCAGAUACAGCAAUGCUCAAUAUUCAGUUCAGAUAUGUCGUUGGCCGCACCAGCAGAUGGCAUGUAGCUUAAGUCCCCUUUAAGCAUCUACUUUCUUUUUUUUCUGGCCAGCAGCUUAUAUCCAUUUCAGACCUAUUUUUCUAGUUCAUUCUUUUUGUGGGGGUAUUUGAGGUAAGAGUUUCUGUUCAUGAGGCUGUAAAGAUUUGUCACGGACAGAAACUUAUCCUGAGAAUGAGACAAAUUAAAUAUAGCUUGAAUAAAAUCAAAGAAAGGAAGAAGAGAGAAAACACAGGUGUAUGCCCUUUAAACUUCAGCACUCAUACAUGUGGUUAAUUAUUAAUUAUUGAUAUGGUUUAUUGAUACAUUGAUGUAUUGAUUCGUGCCACCUAAAGGACAGAUCCCAUUGUUCUGAACAAUGUACAAAUCCUUGACAGCCAGUCCGUAGCCAAAGAGUUUACAAAAAUUUUCUAACAAGAAGUGGAGAUGCAGGAACACUGAAGCCUUUGAGCAUAUCUAAUUUUCCCCCAACUUUUGAGUAUAGUAAGAAAUGCAGUCCACAAUUUUUGAAACGGUCAGUUUGUCAUAUUCAGCAAAACUAUUUCAUCUCUUAGGCUUACAAUUUAUUUCAAAAUGUCACCCGAUUUCAUUCUCUUUAUUUGCGAGCUCAAAAUUGUAAUGAAAAAAUUUCUUCUGUCAAAAUGCUUUUCUGCUUUCAAAACACUGUCAAAAUGUUUAAUCAGCAUUGCAACUUUUUAACAUUUUGUUUUUAAAAGAAAUCAGAAAUAUUUGGUUUGAAAAAAUAAAAUUUCCAACAAACCAAGGAGGUCAUAAUUUCCAUCCUGCUGUAUUUUCAGUUUUAGUAGGAGAUGAGAGACUCCAAUAUGCAGAAGUAGAUAAGUUUGGAAAGGAAACAACAAAGUUUUACAAGAAAUUUUAAUUAAAGGAGCAGUAAUGAAGUGCUGAGGAAUCAUAACACAAACUUGACAAGAGAUCUAUCUGUGCUAGCAGUGCCUCUCUGCAGCAUGUCUCUGCCCUUGGACAGAUGUAACCAUAAUUUCAGUUACUGGUUAACCUGCUUGCCAUGAAGCUUCAGUUCUUAGAAGCUGGUUUAUGCUAUAAAUCUUGGUAUCUGCCUGCAAGGCCAGAGGGAUCACAACUGAGAGAGGUUGUAACCAGAUUUUCUGCUUUGCCAGAAAUUCUUCAAUCUUCUAUUCCAACAUAAAAAGAUGUAAAACUAUUUGGAAUUUUGUAUUAAAAAAUUCCCACUAGCAAUAUAAUUUCAGGUCUUAAAAAUGUAUUAUUCUGAGCAAACAGUGGCAAUUGUUUUCUCCCUUAAAAUAAUUUUAGUAUAGUAAAACAAAGGUUUCAUUUGGAAACUAAUUUUGAAAGAAAAGGGAUAAUAAUCAUUUCCAAACUUGUUGAAAUGAGACACUGUCAGAUAAUAAGGGUGUUUAAUUUUGUUAGUUUUGCUGCUAAUUUGUUGGUUUUGGUACAAUACUUGUAUUUGUAAAGAAUGUUUACCAAACUGUGACUAGCUGUGUUUGUAAUUCAUCAAAAGUGGUUGUGUUUCUAACACUCAAUUUGUCUCAAUUUCCAUGAAAAUGGGGCAGAAGAAAGGAGUAAAUCCUGUCCUUUUUCUUGC